rnacentral:rRNA from 1 species
CCUACGGGUGGCAGCAGUGAGGAAUAUUGGUCAAUGGACGAGAGUCUGAACCAGCCAAGUAGCGUGAAGGAUGACUGCCCUAUGGGUUGUAAACUUCUUUUAUAAAGGACUAAAACGAGUCACGUGUGCCUUUUUGCAUGUACUUUAUGAAUAAGGAUCGGCUAACUCCGGUCCAGCAGCGGCGGUAAUACGGAGGGUCCGAGCGUUAUCCGGAUUUGUUGGGUUUAAAGGGAGCGUAGGUGGGUUGUUAAGUCAGUUGUGAAAGUUUGGGGCUCAACCGUGAAAUUGCAAUUGAUACUGGCAGUCUUGAGUACAGUAGAGGUAGGUGGAAUUCGUGGUGUAGCGGUGAAAUGCGUAGAGAUCACGAAGAACCCCGAUUGCGAAGGCAGCUUACUAAACUGUGACUGACACUGAGGCGCGAAAGUGUGGGUAGCAAACAGGAUUAGAUACCCGAGUAGUC